CAGGACCUGAUUCAUCCCUUUGUCUACCACGUCCUGCCUGUGAGUCACUUAGUAGCCCUCAGUUAUCAGAUAGACCACUGAGGGAUCACAGAGCUUGUGUGCAAGUGACCCAUAUUUUUCUUAAUUAUGGCCCCAAAGUGCCAGAGGAGUGAUGCUGGAAAUUCGGAUCCACCAAAGAGAAGCCGGAAAGUGCUUCCUUUAAGUGAAAAGUACUCAACUUCAUAAGGAAAGGAAAAGAAUCCAAUGCUGAGGCUGCUAAGAUCGAAGGUGUGUCUCUAGGGAGAAAACAUGCUAUGCAUGCAGGCUGGUGCUACUCACAGUUCCAGGUGUCCACUGGGGCCUUGGAAAGGAAGCCCCACAGAUGUGUUUCUGGAAUGCCCGCUCUGGUCAUGCUACUUUCCCACAUAAACACCUCGGAUGAUUCAAGACUUCAGUCUAUGGAAAUAAAUAUAAAGCUGAAGGUAAUUUACCAGCUGGCUCAAUCAACCACCCCAGGGCAGAUGUCAUGCCCCCACCCUAUCACCAGCUCAUUCCGUCUCCUUGGGACACUCUCCUUCACCUUGUCUACACAGCCAGCUAUCUUCCACUGGUUACUUCCAACCAGGCUCCUCAGGGAGAGUUAAUUCUCCCUCUUCCUGGUUUCAAGAGCAUUUUACUUGUAUUGAGUUUAGAAAGUGUCAUAUUGCAUUAAAGUUUAAAAUGUAUUAUAUUGUAUUGUUUGUCUUAUGCCUCUGUUGCCAGUUAGGUCAUGGUCUCUUAAGUUUUGGAGGCAAGUUCUUUCUUUCGGUACCCAGCAGCCCACUGGCAUGAGCACUUGGUCAGUAAUUGUUAGUGGAAUAAAUGGGAGUUUACAAGUUUGAUUAGUUAAAGUUAGUGAUCUUCCAUUUUACAGGCUUAAAAAUAGGGACACAAUGCUUAGACUCACCCAGGGAGUGGGAGUGAGCAGCCAUUCCAUUCAGUGAUAGACCCAGACACAUUAUAUAUUUUGUCAAGGGCUCCUGAACUCCCGACUUCCCUUUGGUAAGCAGGAUAAUACAUCAAAGACUCGCAUUAGAAAAACUUUCAUUUGCAAAAUUCAUAGCAUAGACAUUGUU
rnacentral:lncRNA from 9 species